rnacentral:rRNA from 1 species
UGAGGAAUAUUGGUCAAUGGGCGAGAGCCUGAACCAGCCAAGUCGCGUGAAGGAUGAAGGUUCUAUGGAUUGUAAACUUCUUUUAUUCGAGGGUAAAGUGAGGUACGUGUACCUUAUUGCAAGUAUCGAAUGAAUAAGCAUCGGCUAACUCCGUGCCAGCAGCCACGGUAAUACGGAGGAUGCGAGCGUUAUCCGGAUUUAUGGGUUUAAAGGGUGCGUAGGCUGUGUAGCAAGUCAGUGGUGAAAGCCCGGUGCUCAACACCGGAACUGCCAUUGAUACUGUUGCGCUGGAAUACGGAUGCCGUGGGAGGAAUGAGUAGUGUAGCGGUGAAAUGCAUAGAUAUUACUCAGAACACCGAUUGCGAAGGCAUCUCACGAAUCCGUCAUUGACGCUGAGGCACGAAAGCGUGGGGAUC